UGGUAAGGGACGAGAAGUAUACGUGUCUGUCCCGCUUUGGACGUGUUUUGUGUGUCCAUGAAAAUCUACCUCAUUGUCAUGAUUCACAUAAUACAUAUUGAUGUUGAUAUACAAAUCUCCGAGAUUUGCUGACUUUUAAAUUCCCCCUGCAGCGGCUGCUUUGAAAGGGCCAGACCAAUUAAUUUUGGGGACCUUAUACAGACCAUGAUCUGGACUUUCCCUGGCUUAUAUAACUCCUUGCCCCGACCACAGACUGGCAUUGACUACUCCAGCUCCUCUCAAGCCUCUACCCUGUCACAAGGAACCCCAGGCGAAGGAAGAAGAGGUCUAAUUAUUCAUCGGCAAAACACUCACAUUUGACAGGGCAAGCGACACUAGGACCUAAAAUGUUGUUUUUCUUCACGAUCUUCUGCGCCAUCCUGACAAUAGGUCAUUCGUGCUCCUGUCAAAGAAGAGUCCAAUUCACAUCUGCCUAUUUCUGCGAGUAUACCUUGAUUGUUCUUGGAACUGCCACAAGCGAGACUGAGGAUGGUGUAGACAGGACCUACACAGUGAACGUGAACACGCAUAUCCUGAUUCAAAGUCGACCCGGCACAGCGUCUCCAUUAACCGUGAAAACAUCUGUCCAUGACAGCGCCUGCGGAACCCGCUUUCCUCUGAACACUUUUUACAUCUUUUCUUUGAAUAGAGAGAAUGGUUAUUGGAGAACUUCACUUUGUUACCCAAACCUCGAGUGGAGUAGACUUACUGCACAGCAACGGCGCUUUAUGAUGCAAUAUAUGAGAAGUUGCCCUGCUUCGGGAUGAGUACAGUGACCCGGACACAGCCGCAGGCAACCGAAACAUCUCCCAUGACCUGCCAAGCCAGUCUUCCAUGUGCUGUAAGCAAUGAAACAUUGGUCUAAUGCAGAAGGCUAGUAAAGCUAUGAACUUGUGAACACACUAUGCUUGUGAAGUGUGAU
rnacentral:lncRNA from 1 species